AUUGAACGCUGGCGGCAUGCUUUACACAUGCAAGUCGAGCGGCAGCGCGGGGGGCAACCCUGGCGGCGAGCGGCGAACGGGUGAGUAAUGCAUCGGAACGUACCCUGGAGUGGGGGAUAACGCCGCGAAAGCGGCGCUAAUACCGCAUAUGCUCUGAGGAGGAAAGUGGGGGACCGCAAGGCCUCACGCUCUGGGAGCGGCCGAUGUCCGAUUAGCUAGUUGGUGGGGUAAAGGCUUACCAAGGCGACGAUCGGUAGCUGGUCUGAGAGGAUGAUCAGCCACACUGGGACUGAGACACGGCCCAGACUCCUACGGGAGGCAGCAGUGGGGAAUUUUGGACAAUGGGCGCAAGCCUGAUCCAGCCAUGCCGCGUGAGUGAAGAAGGCC
rnacentral:rRNA from 1 species